ensembl:lncRNA
AAUAAAUACGAGCUGGGCUGACAGAGGCAUCCAUCACCCGCCUGGGAUUCCCCCAACCCUCCUUUUUUCCUCCCCCUUAUCCCCUCCCUCUCUUGGCCUAUAAACUUGCCGGGGUAGUGGGGGUUAAUCAGAGAGGAAUUAUGAGCCAACAUCCCCAGCAGGAGGUGCAUUUAAUGAAAUCACUUGUGAUUUAUGUCUGGGGGAGGUUGGAGAAGGAAGAAUCUGGAACCCAGACAUCCUGCUUCUAGAAAGGUACCGCCCCCCCAGUGCAAAAGAGGAGGAAGCAAAGCAGAAAGAGGGACCCAAGGCCUUUACUGCCACCCCACAGCCCCUGCAAAGCCACACACACCCUGGCAGGAGCCACAAGGGUAGCUGCACAAGGCCAUCGCCACAGAGGCUGCCAGACUUAAAGUGCUUCUGAGGAGUGUAGUGUGCCAGUGCCUGACACGGGGCGCUCAGGGGAGAGUAAUUGACUGCACAGGCAGGGAAGGAAGACAGCUGGGUUCCCAUCAGAGUUUUCUCCAGCUCAUGGUGAGGUGGCCGUCAGCCAAUGAAAACUUAGGAUGCGCUCACCACCAGCAGCCAAUCCCAGUGAAGGAUGAGCCGAACUGCCAGGCCUAAUUGCAUCUUGAUUGGUUGUGAUGUUGCUAGGCAGAAAUGAGGUCCCGGAGAUCGCUGCGGGCAAGACCGGAGAGACAGGUGGAUAUGAGAAUAUCUGGAAACAUAGACUCUUGGAUUGUCAUUUUUCUUCCUGAGCUCCUUCAUUCUUAAAGGAUUAAUGGGGUCAGGGGAAUCACUCUUCCUUUUCUCCUCCACAGUGGGACAGAGCCAAAUAGUUACCGUUUCCCCAAAACGCCUUCAGAGAAAUCUGGCUGCCUCGAAGGUGUUCUAAUCCAAAAAAAAAAAAAUAUCCCCCGGAGGUAUUCCAGCCUCAUACUCAGUCUCCCCAUUUAGGAAGUCCUUUCUGAGGCCUCCCUUCAAGCCUCCUGGCUGUAGUUUAUGAACCAUUUUCUCUAACAU